rnacentral:rRNA from 1 species
AGAGAGAGACAUGCGCGCAUAUCAAUAAGCGGAGGAAAAGAAACUAACUAGGAUUCCCUCAGUAACGGCGAGUGAAGCGGGAAGAGCUCAAAUUUGAAAUCUUCAAGGUUCUACCUUGACGAAUUGUAGUUUAAAGAAGUGUUUUCUGUUGGAGUUUUGGUAAAAGUUCUUUGGAAUAGGACAUCAUAGAGGGUGAGAAUCCCGUAUUUGACCAUUAUUUCCAGCUUUGUGAUACACUUUCAAAGAGUCGGAUUGUUUGGGAAUGCAGUCCAAAAUGGGUGGUAAAUUUCAUCUAAAGCUAAAUAUUGGCGAGAGACCGAUAGCGAACAAGUACCGUGAGGGAAAGACUGAAAAGAACUUUGAAAAGAGAGUUAAACAGUACGUGAAAUUGUCAAAAGGGAAGCGUUUGACACCAGUGUUGUUUUCUCGAAAAUCAAUUAAAAAAGGCAGGAUUUUGUGUUGUAUUGACUUUAUCAGCUUUCUGCACUCUUUUCUUGUCUUUUUUUAAUGCACUUUUCGUUUAACAAGUCAACAUCAAUUUCUUUUGUUGUAAAAGGGUCAUUGGAAGGUGGCUUUCUUUUCGGAGAAAGUGUUUAUAGCCUUUGGCCUCUGCAAUCGGAGAGAUUGAGGUCUGCAGCGUAGAUCCUUCGGGGUUAGAUACAUUUGUGCUAAGUUAUAGCCUUUUCAUAGACAACUUGUUGACUAUGAUCAGUCAUGUAGCUUACUCGCUUAUGCUAUUUUACCUACGCUUAGGAUGUUGAUGUGAUACUGCGAGCA